UAUUUGAUAUUAGAAUGGCUACUCCAGCUUGCUUCUUCUGACCAUUUGCUUGGAAAGUUGUUUUCCAGCCUUUCACUCUGAGGUAGUGUCUGUCUUUGUCUCUGAGGUGUGUUUCCUGUAGGUAGCAGAAUGCAGGGUCCUCGUUGCAUAUCCAGUUUGUUAAUCUAUGUCUUUUUAUUGGGGAGUUGAGGCCAUUGAUAUUGAGAGAUAUUAACGAAUAGUGAUUAUUGCUUCCCUUUAUAUUCAUAUUUGGAUGUGAGGUUAUGUUUGUGUGCUUUCAUUCUCUUUGUUUUGUUGCCAAGACGAUUAGUUUCUUGCUUCUUCUAGGGUAUAGCUUGCCUCCUUAUGUUGGGCUUUACCAUUUAUUAUCCUUUGUAGUGCUGGGUUUGUAGAAAGAUACUGUGUAAAUUUGGUUUUGUCACGGAAUAUCUUGGUUUCUCCAUCAAUGUUAAUUGAGAGUUUUGCUGGAUACAUUAACCUGGGCUGGCAUUUGUGUUCUCUUAGGGUCUGUAUGACAUCAGUCCAGGAUCUUCUGGCCUUCAUAGUUUCUGGCGAGAAGUCUGGUGUGAUUCUGAUAGGUCUGACUUUAUAUAUUACUUGACCUUUAUCCCUUACUGCUUUUAAUAUUCUUUCUUUAUUUUGUGCGUUUGGUGUUUUGACAAUUAUGUGACAGGAGGUGUUUCUUUUCUGGUCCAAUCUAUUUGGAGUUCUGUAGGCUUCUUGUAUGUCUAUGGGUAUGUCUUUUUUUAGGUUAGGGAAGUUUUCUUCUAUGAUUUUGUUGAAGAUAUUUACUGGUCCUUUGAGCUGGGAGUCUUCACUCUCUUCUAUACCUAUUAUCCUUAGGUUUGAUCUUCUCAUUGAGUCCUGGAUUUCCUGUAUGUUUUGGACCAGUAGCUUUUUCCGCUUUACAUUAUCUUUGACAGUUGAGUCAAUGAUUUCUAUGGAAUCUUCUGCUCCUGAGAUUCUCUCUUCCAUCUCUUGUAUUCUGUUGGUGAAGCUUGUAUCUACAGCUCCUUGUCUCUUCUUUUGGUUUUCUAUAUCCAGGGUUGUUUCCAUGUGUUCUUUCUUGAUUGCUUCUAUUUCCAUUUUUAAUUCCUUCAACUAUUUGAUUGUGUUUUCCUGGAAUUCUUUCAGGGAUUUUUGUGUCUCCUCUCUAUGGGCUUCUACUUGUUUAUUUAUGUUUUCCUGGAAUUCUUUCAGGCAUUUUUGCGAUUCCUCUCUGUAGGCUUCUACUUGUUCUCUAAGGGAGUUCUUCACGUCUUUCUUGAAGUCCUCCAGCAUCAUGAUCAAAAAUGAUUUUGAAACUAGAUCUUGCUUUUCUGGUGUGUUUGGAUAUUCCAUGUUUGUUUUGAUGGGAGAAUUGGGCUCCGAUGGUGCCAUGUAGUCUUGGUUUCUGUUGCUUGGGUUCCUGCGCUUGCCUCUCGCCAUCAGAUUAUCUCUAGUGUUACUUUGUUCUGCUAUUUCUGACAGUGGCUAGACUGUCCUAUAAGCCUGUGUGUCAGGAGUACUGUAGACCUGUUUUCCUCUCUUUCAGUCAGUUAUGGGGACAGAGUGUUCUGCUUUCAGGCGUGUAGUUUUUCCUCUCUACAGGUCUUCAGCUGUUCCUGUGGGCCUGUGUCUUGAGUUCACCAGGCAGCUUUCUUGCAGCAGAAAAUUUGUUCUUACCUGUGGUCCCGAGGCUCAAGUUCGCUUGUGGGGUGCUGCCCACGGGCUCUCUGCAGCGGCAGCAACCAGGAAGACCUGUGCCGCCCCUUCCGGGAGCUUCAGUGCACCAGGGUUCCAGACGGUCUUUGGCUUUUUCCUCUGGCGUCCGAGAUGUGUGUGCAGAGAGCAGUCUCUUCUUGUUUCCCAGGCUUGUCUGCCUCUCUGAAGGUUUAGCUCUCCCUCCCACGGGAUUUGGGUGCAGAGAACUGUUUAUCCGGUCCGUUUCCUUCAGGUUCCGGCGGUGUCUCUCCUUCAGGUUCCGACGGUGUCUCUUUUCAUUUUUAAGUUAAUUUUGUAAACUAUGUGAAAUGACAAUCUUGUUUUUGCCUUGUGGUGUUACAGAAGUCUCUUAUACAAAUCAUGAUUGACAACUGUGAUCAAAUAUUUGGAAAUGAUGAUACAUUUAGUAAACACAUUGACAAAAGGUCUGAAGACUUAAACACAUAAAAAGAAUCAGUAAAUUAUUCUGGAAAAUCUCCUAUUAUGACAAAAGCCAUAGCUGGACACAACUGGAAAACCAAUGAUAUUGAUGAAAAAUUUAAUAUUUCAUAUGCUGCACUGCAGGAAGAAGGUCCUACAGGGACACUUACUUGUCUUGGUUAAUAUGACUCUUUUUGACCUGUGUCACCUCUUCGGAAGUCUGUCCAAAGUGAGCAGUGGGGUGAACAAUGGCUGCAGCAUCUUUAGGUAUCUGGAUCCAACCAUCAGGAGCUCUGAGCACUGACCCUCAAUGGCUGCCUGCCUCAGUUUGCACACCAGAUGGAUGCCAAUGCUGGUCUCUGUCAGGAAAGUACACAGAUUUCCUAAUGGUGCUUUCAACAUUAGUUCCUAUUAGAGUAGGUAACUGAAGAGGUAUCAGAGAUAACUCUUAUGUUUCUUUAACAUGUUUUAUGUCCCUCAUAUUUUUCUAAAUUUAGAAAUAUCUUGACCAUUGUGCCAUGUAAAGUAUUGAUUAUUGUUCAUGUGCAUGUUUUAACUUUUGCGAUUUAUUUGUUGACUUUUAAAGCUUCUAAUUUCAACACUAAUUUCCAAAUGGCAACAGAAGAAAAGUAAAACAACAUUACGGGCAGAAGAAUAAUUUGGAUAAUGUGCGUUGGAAUAGAGAUGGAAAAUCGGCAGUUCAGUUCACAAGUCAGCAGCAGCAGCUUGAUCUACUCACAAACCCUUCACAGAUACAUCAGCGAUCCAGUUCGGUAGACUCUGGACAGUAAACAUGAAUCAGCAGCUUUGGCACUACCUUACAGAGCCAGGCAGGCCUCAGCAGGCAUGAAUCUGCAAGAUCAUACUGAUUUCAUGACUCCCUGAAAAUGUCUGCACAGCAUGCAUAUCAAAAUCUUUCUUAUCAAGGAGAGACUACUCAGUUUUUGCAAUUAUUCAGGGCACUAGCCUGGCAUGCUGGCCCAAGCCUCUAAUUCCACCAUUCGGGAAACAGAGGCAGGCAGAUCUCUGAGUUUAAGACCAUCCUGAUCAAUAAAGUAAAUUAGAGAAUA